GCAAGGCUGCAUAGCAUUUAAAAUUAAAAACACCAUUUUCCUAAAUGUGUGUGUCAUUAUGAUGUUUACCAAUGUGCUUUUGCUAGUUAAAUUCCAGUUUCCUGUGUUUUUCACUCAAAGACCUGCUGGCAUCAUGAUACAAGCUCAGCAAUGUAGCCUAAAACUUGCCAUAGUUUUUCUUCUCUUUGGGUUCUCUUAUGAGUUGCUUCAUUACAGGCAGUCCCAGGGUUAUGAACGAGAUCCGACCCUACGUCUGUCCUUAAGUUGAAUUUGGAGGUUUCAAGCAUUUGGCAUAGAUCAUCUCAUUUGAUUCUAUUAUAACAGAUAGACCAAAAACAAACAACUGAUGACUGCAUAAAGGAUGGACCUGACUGAGAAGAGACUGAAGUAACUGUAGUAAUGCAGGAAACAAAACUGGACCAAAACAGAUAAGCUAGGAGAAGCAGACACAGCUAAUGAAAAUAGUAUAUUGUCAUCACAUGCUAAUUAGUUCAUUUCUGGCAAAUUUAAGCCCAUUAUAGGCUCUGACAUCAAAGAAGAAGAAUAAAGAAAUCUCUGCCAAAAUGAAAUCCGUAAUUGCUGUCUCCCUUCAUCUCUCUCACUCAGAAAAUCAUAGGACAUCAGAGGUAGAAAGAACCUUAGAGUUUACCUCAUCCAGAGAGGCUCAAAUUAGUGCACACAAAAAUCACUUAGAUUUUUAAAAGGUAGGUACCUGAGUCCCACCCUGGGAGAUUCCUAUUCAAGAGGUUUGGGUGGAGUCCAGGAAACCAGAUUUUUACCAAACUUUACUGCUGCUUUUGAUGCAUGUGAUCCAAUGACUGUAUUCUGAGAAUCACUGAUCUAGUGCAAGUCCCUCAAGUGUCAGAUAAGAAAACAGCCAGGAAGAUAAAAGCAGUGACUCUAAUCUCGAGCAGUUCCAGAAUUAAACCUUGAGCUCCUAAUCCCCAGUACUGGUAAUCUUUACACUAUACUGCUCUGACUUCCCAAACAACCCAGAAUCAACUUGAGUCCAGCAAGAUGAAACCAGAAUAACCAAUCAAUAGAGACACAUGGCCCAAUUCUGAAAGCAAGAAUUUUUCUUGGGUGUUUUGUUGGCCUCACAUAGCAGGUGACGUCACAUUCGCUGAAGGCCUUUCUCUAUAUUUGUUCACACUCUAGUAGCUUUUAAAAUUCAUUCUUCUUUCUAUGCACUGGGCAGCACUUUAUUGGUCCAUUCAAAUAAUGAGCCCAGUUAAACGCAAAAUGCCAAUUUCCAGGUAUUAGCCAUGUCAUAUAACUUAUAACCCAAGAGUCAGAAACCCCUGCGAAAUAUGUUGGAACACAACAUUUGACUAUUAGAGUUGUGGAGCUGAAGGAUGCUAAAACUCUACCACUAACUACUUAGCAAAUCACAAUCUCCUUAUGCCUGUUUCUUCAUACGUCAAAAAGCUAUAAUGAGAUUUGUCCCCUUCACCUCAGAGAGACGUAGGAAGCAGUUAGUCGUGAAACUGCUUUUACAAGGAUUAAAAGGACUACCUGAAAGUAAGGAAUGUGUGAAAUCCUUCUGUGUAUGCUUCAGCUGCCACUACUGAAUACCUGCAGAGUGAGGUAUAAAUCAACAGAAGCUUCUGGAAGAAAUAUGCUUUUGGCUGGGCUUUUAAAGAGGGGGCAGUGGUUGCUGAUGGAAUGCUAGUAUGGAUAAAAAAAAUAAGAUGGACAGAAGCAGGUCUACACGGAGCUAGCCUAAAGAGACUGCUGACAGAACAAAUUUUUUAUUUUUAUGGGCUCUUGACCUUCACAAGACAUAAUGUGCCAACAAAGCAAGACACAAAGGAUAAAAUUUUUAUUUUUCCAUUGAAUUCUGGAUACCUUCUAAAUGCUCUCACCUAGCUCUAAAAUAAUAUUUCAUUUUAAAACAUUGUAUAUACUUAAAAUUAGGCACAAAUUUAUUGUUAAGUAAGGUUUUUAAUAUGUGGCAUGUUGAUAGUAAAUGGAGUCUCUCAGCUUUUGCAUUUCUCGGCUCCAGCACUUCAAAUUAACUAACCUUAAGCUGCACUUGUGUUUUCACUCUGUAAAACACACAUGACUUGUUUCUCUCCUAUCUAAACAGACCAUCAUCACAUCAUCAUCAAAUAGCAUUUUAUUAAGCUCCACAUGUGCACAUCAUGUAACCCUGCACUAAGGAAACUGGGUAAAGAAAGGAUAAGUUCAUAUUGCGGCUACUUUCAGAAAGCAGGGAGAGCUGUGAAAGGCAUACACUUGUUAAGCUUUGGCAUGGUUUCAAUACGCUGAUGGAAACUGAAAUAGACCUUAAUGAUUAUCUAAUCUAAGUAUCUGUUAUAAAGUACAACUUCCUACUCAAAAUAAAACUUUCCCUAUAAUACUCUUGACAUAUGACCACCUUGUCUCUGUUUGGAAACAUCCAGUGAUGUGAUGCUCAGUAACUCAAAUGAUAGUUCCUACAUUUUUUAACAAUUUUAAUUAUUAGAGAGUUCUUCCUUUAUUUAUUUACCAGUUCUCUUCCAUGUGAUAUAAGUCAGCAAAAAGAACAAGGGUUUUAGAGUCAGACAGAAUUAAGUAGGAUUCCCAAUUCUGUCACUUACUAGUUGUAUGACCUCGAGUAUCUUCUUUAAAGUCUCUGAGCCUCAGUUUCCUCACCUAUAAAAAUGAGGAUAAUAUUCUUCAAAAAGAAGUUAAACAUAGAAUUACCAUAUGAUCCAACAAUUCCAUUCCGAGGUAUAUGCUCAAAAGACUUGAAAGCAGGGACUCAAACACACACUUGUACGCCAUUGUUCAUUGCAGCAUUAUUCACAAUAGACAAAAGGUAGAAAAAAAAUCAAGGAUCCAUCAACAGAUGAAUGGACAAAUAAAAUGUGGUAUAUACAUUUAUUUUUUAUAUACAUACAAUGAAAUACUCUUCAACCCUGAAGAGAAAUGAAGUUCUGAUACAUGCUACAACAUGGAUGAAUCUUAAAAACAUUAUGUUAGUUCAGUUAAAUAAGUCAGACACAAACGGACAAAUAUUGUAUGAUUCCAAUUGUACGAAAUAUCUAGAAUAGACAUGCAUAGAGUUUAUUAGUGGUUACAGGGGCUAGAAGAGGGGAAAAUGUGGAGACGUUGCUUAAAGGUACUGAGUUUUUGUUUGGGGAGAUGAAAAACUCUUGGAAAUAGAAAGUGGUGACAGUUGCAUAACAUGGUGAAUAUAAUUAAUGUCAUUAAAUUGUCACUUAAAAAUUAUUAAAAUGGCAAAAUUGUUGUUAUAUGUAUUUUACCACAAAGAAGACUUUUUCAAAAAUAUCUUCAGGGUUCAGGGGGAAAGAGGGAGGAAUGAAUAGGUGAAGCACAGGGCAUUUUAAGAGCAGUGAAAUUACUUUACAUGGAACUGUAAUGGUAGAUGCAUGACAUUGGGCAUUUGUUAAAAUCCAUAGAACUGUACAACACAGAGAAUGAGCCCUAACGUAAACUACAAAUUAUAGUUAGCCAUAAUAUAGCGAUAUUGGCUCAUUAAUUGAAACAAAUAUACCACAUGAAUGCAAAAUGCUAAUAGUAGGGGAAACUGUGAGGGAUGGAAGGAGGCAUAUAGAAAAUCCUUGUACUUUCUGUGUAAUUUUUCUGUAAACCUAAAGCAACUCUAAGAAAUAAAGUGUAUUUUUUAAAAUGAGGAUAAUAAACUCCUACCUCUAUUUAUUAUGUGAAUUAAGCUAUAUGUGAAAAGUACUUAGAAAUUUACCUGGCUCAUAACAGUUCCUCGAUGAAGAAAGUAUCAUUCUACCCAUUUGUUCUAGCACUAUCAUUUGCUGCUAAAUUUUUAAUCCCCCAUUUAUAUGCAUAUGAUAGUCCUUCGAAUAUGUGAUGCUGCUGAGCUUUUUCCUUCCUGACACUGCUCUUUAUCCUGCUAUCUAUCUCUAGUUCUCACAACAUUUUAUGGGGCCAUUUAAUCCCAAACCAUGACACUGUUGAGUGCCAUAGGGAUAGUCCAAUGUAAUGGGCUAUGGAUGAGUGACUGGGUGAUUCAAUGGUUGGGACAUCUUCCAACCCAGGGAUGUGAAACAAUCCAGAUCGACACCUUAAUCCAAACUACUACAAGAUGGAAGAAUGAAUCCAAAUAUAACAUUAAUCCUAACCAAUGUAAAUAGGCUAGAUUAUCUGGCUAAAAGACAAAUACCACUGAUUGGAUUUUAAAAUAAUAUACAACCCAAGUUAUUUGCAAAAGACACAUUUAAAGCUUAAAACACAAAAACUGAAUGUGAUAAAAGACAUAUUAAGAAAAUACUACUCAAAAUACUACUAAGGAUGUAUCAAUAUCAGACAAAAUAAAC